rnacentral:rRNA from 1 species
AAGCCUGAUGCAGCAACGCCGCGUGAGGGAUGACGGCCUUCGGGUUGUAAACCUCUUUUAGUAGGGAAGAAGCGAAAGUGACGGUACCUGCAGAAAAAGCACCGGCUAACUACGUGCCAGCAGCCGCGGUAAUACGUAGGGUGCAAGCGUUGUCCGGAAUUAUUGGGCGUAAAGAGCUCGUAGGCGGUUUGUCGCGUCUGCUGUGAAAUCCCGAGGCUCAACCUCGGGCUUGCAGUGGGUACGGGCAGACUAGAGUGCGGUAGGGGAGAUUGGAAUUCCUGGUGUAGCGGUGGAAUGCGCAGAUAUCAGGAGGAACACCGAUGGCGAAGGCAGAUCUCUGGGCCGUAACUGACGCUGAGGAGCGAAAGCAUGGGGAGCGAACAGGAUUAGAUACCCUGGUAGUCCAUGCCGUAAACGUUGGGCGCUAGAUGUAGGGACCUUUCCACGGUUUCUGUGUCGUAGCUAACGCAUUAAGCGCCCCGCCUGGGGAGUACGGCCGCAAGGCUAAAACUCAAAGGAAUUGACGGGGGCCCGCACAAGCGGCGGAGCAUGCGGAUUAAUUCGAUGCAACGCGAAGAACCUUACCAAGGCUUGACAUACACCGGAAACGGCCAGAGAUGGUCGCCCCCUUGUGG